rnacentral:rRNA from 1 species
GACGAACGCUGGCGGCGUGCUUAACACAUGCAAGUCGAACGGAAAGGCCUGUUUCUGGGUGUCCUCUAGUGGCGAACGGGUGAGUAACACGUGAGUAACCUGCCCUUGACUUUGGCAUAACUUCCGUAAACUGGGGGUAAUACCGGACUGAUGCUCCUUCUGCCUGCUGGGUGUUGGAUAGUUUGGGCGGGUGGGUGUGAAUUCGCGGCUUAUCCGCGUGUUGGUGGGGUAGUGGUUUACCAAGGCUUGCCCGGGUAGCCGGCCUGAGAGAGUGACCCGCCACAAUGGGACUGAGAUGCGGCCGAGGCAGCUACGGGGGGCAGCGGGGGGGAAGAUUGAACAAGGGGUGGAGGCGUGAUGCAGGAAGGCCGUGUGCGGGAGGACGGCCUUCGGGUUGAAAACCGCGUUCGCACAUGACGAAGCGUGGUGUGACGGUAGUGGGUAAAGAAGCACCGGCUAACUACGUG